rnacentral:SRP_RNA from 1 species
CGCUAGGCUCGACCGGGACGUUCGGCACGCCCUUUUACACCGCAGACGUCGAUAGCGGGGGUGACAACGGGGGACGCCGUAACCGGAAAGGCGCGGGCCCUGCCAACGACUAUGAGGCCUCGUCCUAUGGGGUUGGAGGCGGUUAGGAGGCGCGAUCGGAGGGUCGCGCGCCUUUCCCUGGUCACGGAGAACGGGUCAGGCCCUGACGGGAGCAGCCUUACCGUGGACUACUAACGCUCAAAGGGGAGCGGGGCUGAGAAGCUGGUAGGACAACUCGUGUUGAUCCGAGCGGCUACCUUCGUGGCCUAGCA